rnacentral:rRNA from 1 species
GACGAACGCUGGCGGCGUGCUUAACACAUGCAAGUCGAGCGGUAAGGCCCUUUCGGGGGUACACGAGCGGCGAACGGGUGAGUAACACGUGGGUGACCUGCCCUCAGCUCUGGGAUAAGCCUGGGAAACCGGGUCUAAUACUGGAUAUGACUCCAUGACGCAUGUUGUGGGGUGGAAAGCCUUGUGCGGCUGAGGAUGGGGCCCGCGGCCUAUCAGCUUGUUGGGGGGUGAUGGCCUACCAAGGCGACGACGGGUAGCCGGCCUGAGAGGGCGGACCGGCCACACUGGGACUGAGACACGGCCCAGACUCCUACGGGAGGCAGCAGUGGGGAAUCUUGCGCAAUGGGCGAAAGCCUGACGCAGCGACGCCGCGUGAGGGAUGACGGCCU